rnacentral:lncRNA from 1 species
CUGUAGCCACCAGCCUACGCCAGAGCCACAGCAACGUGUACAACCUACACCACAGCUCAUGGCAACGCUGAAUCCUUAACCCACUGAGCAAGGCCAGGGAUCGAACCUGCAACCUCAUGGUUCCCAGUCGGAUUCGUUAACCACUGAGCCACGAUGGCAACUCCCCUAUUUUUUUUUUUUUCACAUUAUGUACUUGGAAUGAUCAUCUUUAAAUCUGUGGCUUCAGUUAUGAGGUUCCCAGCUCUUCUAUAGCCUGAGGCUGUCAGAUGAGGCUUCUUGGAUGACACUUGAUCUGUCAAUUCAAUUCUGCCCCAAAUCCAGCUCAUCCAGUUCUGUUCACAGAAUGGGGAGCUGUCAGCCUGAGCUGGCCCAAUAAAUUAAUUCCCAUGAAGGGACUGCUACAUGUUCCCUGCAGAUCUGCAAGCCAGCAUUGUGACUGCAGAAGUGAGGGCCAGCGUGGGCAGAAUAGCGGCCGGACUCUGUUCUGGGCCAUCUAACUGCUGCCUACUCGGGGAGCGGCCUUUGCUUCCUGCUACCAGACUUACUAGAGUCUGUUUUUCACAUGUUUUCUUUGAUUGAUUCUGAAACGGGAGGAAAGGGGGCAGGGCACAACCCUUAAAGAACCACAUAGGCCCUGGGGAUACAAUAAAAACUGGUUAGAACAAACUAAGUCCAAGAUGCCAGAGGAUUCAACUUCCAGUGGACCUUGAAUCUCGUUAUACGCUCAGCUAAAUGACACAGUCACAGGCAGGUGACAGCUCAGAGGAGGACCAUAAAAGUCCCCACAGUGGGCAGUGGCCUAAUUCCUGGAAACCCCCGUCUCUUCCCCAAAAUAGUUGGAAGAAUCCUCCACUCAUUAGCCUGUGCAAUAACCCAGCCCAUAAAACUCCCCCCUCCCUCCCCUGCCGUCGUAUUUCAGGGCCUCUGUCCUUCUGAGACGGCCCACACUGUCUCUCUCAAGAAAUUCACUUCUUACCUAUCACUUUGCCUCUUGCUGAAUUCCUUCUGCUCUGAGACAUAAAGGACCUGAACUUGUGUCAGUCCUGAGACCGGGUGUGUGAUUUUAAUUAAAAAACAGUGAGUUCAAGUCCCAGUCUGGGUUCUGGCUGGAUUAGAGGCCCAGCACAUGGGUUCGAGUUCUAAUCGGAGUUGUGCGGUUUCAAUUCAAAAUGCUUGAAAAAUCUGCUUUGUUCUUAACUCACAUGAAGAAUGUUCCCACAUGCAUUUGUCUCUUGCUUGAUAUCCUGAUUGCUGUGUGAAACGGGCAGAACAGGACACGUGUCUCCAUUUCACAGAUGGGGAAACUGCAUCCUUGGGUGUGAAGUGACGUGUCUAAUCUAAGGUCGCACGCUUGGUGGGUAGAAUUCCAGAACGAUAGCCCAUUUUCCCGUCCUGGUCUAGUGCUCAUUCAAAUAGACCCCAGGUCUUCCUAAAAUGCACACAGAGGCUCCUUCAAACCAGGUGACCUGAGCUCCAGAAAGGUCACUUUUUUGGUCUGAAAUUCCCUUUUCUCUGCUGCAAAUCAUCUUUCUUGCUGCCUUUUGACCUAAUUUCCUCUAGCCCAGCUCUCAGUGGGGAAGAGGAAGCCCUUGGGACAAGAAAAGAAAUUCCUUCCCUGCACCUCCAGUCUGGGUCACCAUCUGCUCCCUUGACCCCAGGACCCCUGACUCCCUGGAGAACUUAGGAUGGGUCAGGCCAGCCCUGGGGGAAUGUGGUAUAGAUGAGGAACUUUUGCUAGUUUUGCAAGAAGCAUCUGGGACAAGGGACUAGCACUGCCCUUUUUUGUUUUAUUGCAUAAACUUGAUGUCUAUUAUAAGAUUUUUUUUUUUCUUUUUAGGGCCACGCCUGUGGCAUAUGGAAGUUCCCCGGCCAGGGAUCGAAUCAGAGCUGCAGCUACCAGCCUAUGCUGCAGCCACAGCCUAUGCUGCAGCUUGUGGCAAUGCUGGACCCUUAACCCACUGAGCAAGGCCAGGGAUUAAACCUGCAUCCUCAUGAACACUAUGUCAGCUUCUUAACUCACUGAACCACAACAGGAACCCCACAAAAAAAACAAACGAACAAACAAAACUGUGCUUACAUAAUCCUUUUCUCUUUAAAUAUGGUAACAGCCUUUCUGAUGUCCUCAUCCCUGCCUUGAGGUGGGGAUCUGGCCAGGUGGCAGGGCUGAGGAGCAGGGCUUGACCUUGUGGGGACAGAGAAGGACAUUGUCUUUUCCUUGGAACAGAUGUUGGCGUCCAGCAACAUACCAAAGCCACCUUCAUGGUUAGAACCUGCAGGCCAGCUCAACUGUGGGGAGGAAAGGCAGGAGCGGAAAGCUGAUGAUUUUGUGUGCAAAUUCUUCAAUCUCCUACUUCUCCCAAACGCACACAGACUAUUUGCUUCUUUACUCAAAAAGCCCAAGAGAACUUGGUUCUGGAUUGUUUUCCACUGAGGAUCUGGUGCAGGUCAAUGGUGAGGGGUGGCCUAGAAGGACAUCCGAGGUUGGGGGUAGGCCUAAAAGCCACAGUCUGCCUGGCACCUGAUGAUCCUGGUUAGCGGGUGGUCCUGUGGCAAGGAUGGAGGAAUCUGCUCCUGGACCUCACCUGAGCUCCAGUAUCGUUGCCAUAGCGACCAAUCCCUACAGUUGCUAAGAGAACCUGGUUUCACACAGGCUCUGGGGGAACGGAGCUGGGCCCUGGCUGCUGCUCGCUCUGUUUCUCUCUUAUCUUUGUCCUUUUCUCUGUCAGCUCAGGCCGCUAUGACAAGUUACCAUGUCUGGAUGCCUUAAACAGAAAGGUAUUUCCUUGCAGUUCUGGAGGCUGGGAAAACCAAGAUCAAGGUGCCAGCCAAUGUAGUUCCUGGUGAGAACCCCCUUCCUGCAGAAGCCUUCACACUGUGUCCUUACAUGUCCUUUCCUUGGCGUGUGCACUUGGAAAGAGAAAUGCCACAUAUGAAUUUUGAGGUAUACAAACAGUCCAUAAUAGUCCUUGACUGACCUGGGCCUUCCUGGCUCAGGGGGGAAACAGGGGUGAGGAGACUUGUCUUCUAUCAUCCAAACUUUAUGGUGACUUGGACUUUAUUGAGAUCAUUUUAGUUAAUGUGAAAAAUGCCAGCUUUGUGUUCCUGCUGGGGUACUGCAGGAUUGGUGGCAUCUCUGGAGCACAGGGACACAGGUUCAAUUUCCGGCCUGACAAAGUGGGUUAAGGAUGCUGCAUUGCGUAGGUUGCAACUGAUUCCUGACUUGGAAACUCCAUGUGCUAUGGGAGGGGCAAAAAAAAAAAAAAAAAAAGAAAAAA